GACGAACGCUGGCGGCGUGCUUAACACAUGCAAGUCGAGCGGUAAGGCCCUUUCGGGGGGUACACGAGCGGCGAACGGGUGAGUAACACGUGGGUGACCUGCCCUCAGCUCUGGGAUAAGCCUGGGAAACCGGGUCUAAUACUGGAUAUGACUCCAUGACGCAUGUUGUGGGGUGGAAAGCCUUGUGCGGCUGAGGAUGGGCCCGCGGCCUAUCAGCUUGUUGGUGGGGNGAUGGCCUACCAAGGCGACGACGGGUAGCCGGCCUGAGAGGGCGACCGGCCACACUGGGACUGAGACACGGCCCAGACUCCUACGGGAGGCAGCAGUGGGGAAUCUUGCGCAAUGGGCGAAAGCCUGACGCAGCGACGCCGCGUGAGGGAUGACGGCCU
rnacentral:rRNA from 1 species